CCGGCGACCGGCAAACGGGUGCGGAACACGUACACAACCUUCCUUUUAGUGGGGAUAGCCCAGAGAAAUUUGGAUUAAUACCCCGUAAGAUUAAAGAGUGGCAUCACUUUUUAAUUAAAGUUCCGGCGCUAGGAGAUGGGUGUGCGUCUGAUUAGGUAGUUGGUGUGGGUAACGGCCCACCAAGCCUACGAUCAGUAACUGGUGUGAGAGCACGACCAGUCACACGGGCACUGAGACACGGGCCCG
rnacentral:rRNA from 1 species